GUGGGGAAUUUUGGACAAUGGGCGCAAGCCUGAUCCAGCAAUGCCGCGUGCAGGAAGAAGGCCUUCGGGUUGUAAACUGCUUUUGUACGGAACGAAACGGUCCUGGUUAAUACCUGGGGCUAAUGACGGUAGCGUAAGAAUAAGCACCGGCUAACUACGUGCCAGCAGCCGCGGUAAUACGUAGGGUGCGAGCGUUAAUCGGAAUUACUGGGCGUAAAGCGUGCGCAGGCGGUGCUGUAAGACAGGCGUGAAAUCCCCGGGCUCAAACUGGGAAUUGCGCUUGUGACUGCAGUGCUUGAGUACGGCAGAGGGGGAUGUAAUUCCGCGUGUAGCAGUGAAAUGCGUAGAUAUGCGGAGGAACACCGAUGGCGAAGGCAGUCCCCUGGGCCUGUACUGACGCUCAUGCACGAAAGCGUGGGGAGCAAACAGGAUUAGAAACCCCGGUAGUCC
rnacentral:rRNA from 1 species